GCGCCCUUUUUAUCUAACCCACCCUGUCAACUUUCCCAGUGGGAGGAAACCAGAGUACCCGGGGAAAACCCACGGCCUUCGGCAGAGCGUUGACUUUUACUCUUUUCGCAUGGGGACUGGGUUCGAGCCGCAUUGGGAAGGUACUUAGUGAGACUCGAACCUGCAGCCUCAGAGGUGAAAGGCAAGUGCGCUAACCACUUGGCCACCGAAGCCCCCUAA
rnacentral:lncRNA from 1 species